CACCUUCAGGGUCAUGUGAAAGUACGACAUUGCUCACAUUGCUUCCAGUGUUUAUUUUAU
rnacentral:misc_RNA from 2 species